rnacentral:rRNA from 1 species
CCUACGGGUGGCAGCAGUGAGGAAUAUUGGUCAAUGGGCGAGAGCCUGAACCAGCCAAGUCGCGUGAAGGAUGACGGCCCUACGGGUUGUAAACUUCUUUUGUCAGGGAGCAAUUGGGUCCACGCGUGGGCUUAGCGAGAGUACCUGAAGAAAAAGCAUCGGCUAACUCCGUGCCAGCAGCCGCGGUAAUACGGAGGAUGCGAGCGUUAUCCGGAUUGAUUGGGGUGAAAGGGUGCGUAGGCGGAAUAUCAAGUCAGCGGGAAAAAUUCGGGGCUCAACCCCGUCGUGCCGUUGAAACUGAUGUUCUUGAGUGGGCGAGAGGUAUGCGGAAUGCGUGGUGUAGCGGUGAAAUGCAUAGAUAUCACGCAGAACUCCGAUUGCGAAGGCAGCAUACCGGCGCCCAACUGACGCUGAAGCACGAAAGCGUGGGUAUCGAACAGGAUUAGAUACCCUUGUAGUC